AUGCAAGUCGAGCGGGGUGAUGUAGCUUGCUACAUUACCUAGCGGCGGACGGGUGAGUAAUGCUUAGGAGUCUGCCUAUUAGUGGGGGACAACAUUCCGAAAGGAAUGCUAAUACCGCAUACGCCCUACGGGGGAAAGCAGGGGAUCUUCGGACCUUGCGCUAAUAGAUGAGCCUAAGUCAGAUUAGCUAGUUGGUGGGGUAAAGGCCUACCAAGGCGACGAUCUGUAGCGGGUCUGAGAGGAUGAUCCGCCACACUGGGACUGAGACACGGCCCAGACUCCUACGGGAGGCAGCAGUGGGGAAUAUUGGACAAUGGGCGAAAGCCUGAUCCAGCCAUGCCGCGUGUGUGAAGAAGGCCUUUUGGUUGUAAAGCACUUUAAGCGAGGAGGAGGCUACUUGGAUUAAUACUCUAGGAUAGUGGACGUUACUCGCAGAAUAAGCACCGGCUAACUCUGUGCCAGCAGCCGCGGUAAUACAGAGGGUGCGAGCGUUAAUCGGAUUUACUGGGCGUAAAGCGUGCGUAGGCGGCUUCUUAAGUCGGAUGUGAAAUCCCUGAGCUUAACUUAGGAAUUGCAUUCGAUACUGGGAAGCUAGAGUAUGGGAGAGGAUGGUAGAAUUCCAGGUGUAGCAGUGAAAUGCGUAGAGAUCUGGAGGAAUACCGAUGGCGAAGGCAGCCAUCUGGCCUAAUACUGACGCUGAGGUACGAAAGCAUGGGGAGCAAACAGGAUUAGAUACCCUGGUAGUCCAUGCCGUAAACGAUGUCUACUAGCCGUUGGGGGCCUUUGAGGCUUUAGUGGCGCAGCUAACGCGAUAAGUAGACCGCCUGGGGAGUACGGUCGCAAGACUAAAACUCAAAUGAAUUGACGGGGGCCCGCACAAGCGGUGGAGCAUGUGGUUUAAUUCGAUGC
rnacentral:rRNA from 1 species